AGAGUUUGAUCCUGGCUCAGGAUGAACGCUAGCUACAGGCUUAACACAUGCAAGUCGAGGGGCAGCAUGGUCUUAGCUUGCUAAGGCCGAUGGCGACCGGCGCACGGGUGAGUAACACGUAUCCAACCUGCCGUCUACUCUUGGACAGCCUUCUGAAAGGAAGAUUAAUACAAGAUGGCAUCAUGAGUCCGCAUGUUCACAUGAUUAAAGGUAUUCCGGUAGACGAUGGGGAUGCGUUCCAUUAGAUAGUAGGCGGGGUAACGGCCCACCUAGUCUUCGAUGGAUAGGGGUUCUGAGAGGAAGGUCCCCCACAUUGGAACUGAGACACGGUCCAAACUCCUACGGGAGGCAGCAGUGAGGAAUAUUGGUCAAUGGACGAGAGUCUGAACCAGCCAAGUAGCGUGAAGGAUGACUGCCCUAUGGGUUGUAAACUUCUUUUAUAUGGGAAUAAAGUUUUCCACGUGUGGAAUUUUGUAUGUACCAUAUGAAUAAGGAUCGGCUAACUCCGUGCCAGCAGCCGCGGUAAUACGGAGGAUCCGAGCGUUAUCCGGAUUUAUUGGGUUUAAAGGGAGCGUAGAUGGAUGUUUAAGUCAGUUGUGAAAGUUUGCGGCUCAACCGUAAAAUUGCAGUUGAUACUGGAUAUCUUGAGUGCAGUUGAGGUAGGCGGAAUUCGUGGUGUAGCGGUGAAAUGCUUAGAUAUCACGAAGAACUCCGAUUGCGAAGGCAGCUCACUGGAGUGUAACUGACGCUGAUGCUCGAAAGUGUGGGUAUCAAACAGGAUUAGAUACCCUGGUAGUCCACACAGUAAACGAUGAAUACUCGCUGUUUGCGAUAUACAGUAAGCGGCCAAGCGAAAGCAUUAAGUAUUCCACCUGGGGAGUACGCCGGCAACGGUGAAACUCAAAGGAAUUGACGGGGGCCCGCACAAGCGGAGGAACAUGUGGUUUAAUUCGAUGAUACGCGAGGAACCUUACCCAGGCUCGAACGGCAUCUGAAUCGUCCAGAGAUGGGCGAGUCUUCGGACAGAUGUCGAGGUGCUGCAUGGUUGUCGUCAGCUCGUGCCGUGAGGUGUCGGCUUAAGUGCCAUAACGAGCGCAACCCUUAUCUUUAGUUACUAACAGGUCAUGCUGAGGACUCUAGAGAGACUGCCGUCGUAAGAUGUGAGGAAGGUGGGGAUGACGUCAAAUCAGCACGGCCCUUACGUCCGGGGCUACACACGUGUUACAAUGGGGGGUACAGAGGGCCGCUACCACGCGAGUGGAUGCCAAUCCCAAAAACCUCUCUCAGUUCGGACUGGAGUCUGCAACCCGACUCCACGAAGCUGGAUUCGCUAGUAAUCGCGCAUCAGCCAUGGCGCGGUGAAUACGUUCCCGGGCCUUGUACACACCGCCCGUCAAGCCAUGAAAGCCGGGGGUACCUGAAGUGCGUAACCGCAAGGAGCGCCCUAGGGUAAAACUGGUGACUGGGGCUAAGUCGUAACAAGGUAGCCGUACCGGAAGGUGCGGCUG
rnacentral:rRNA from 1 species